AUGCUGACAUAUUUACUAGAAGGUAAAAUUCAUAACCUUCUAGUAAGAGUGGCAGUUGAAG
rnacentral:pre_miRNA from 1 species